GACGAACGCUGGCGGCGUGCUUAACACAUGCAAGUCGAACGGUAAGGCCCUUUCGGGGGUACACGAGUGGCGCACGGGUGAGUAACACGUGGGUGAUCUGCCCUGCACUUUGUGAUAAGCCUGGGAAACUGGGUCUAAUACCGGAUAGGACUACGCGAUGCAUGUCGUGUGGUGGAGAGCUUUUUCGGUGUGGGGUGGGCCCGCGGCCUAUCAGCUUGUUGGUGGGGUGAUGGCCUACCAAGGCGACGACGGGUAGCCGGCCUGAGAGGGUGUCCGGCCACACUGGGACUGAGAUACGGCCCAGACUCCUACGGGAGGCAGCAGUGGGGAAUAUUGCACAAUGGGCGCAAGCCUGAUGCAGCGACGCCGCGUGGGGGAUGACGGCCUUCGGGUUGUAAACCCCUUUCAGCACAGACGAAGCGUAAGUGACGGUAUGUGCAGAAGAAGCACCGGCCAACUACGUG
rnacentral:rRNA from 1 species